UACGUAGGGUGCAAGCGUUGUCCGGAAUUAUUGGGCGUAAAAGAGCUCGUAGGCGGUCUGUCGCGUCGGCUGUGAAAUCCCGGAGGCUCAACCUCGGGUCUGCAGUCGAUACGGGCAAACUAGAGUAUUGCAGGGGAGACUGGAAUUCCUGGUGUAGCGGUGAAAUGCGCAGAUAUCAGGAGGAACACCGGUGGCGAAGGCGGGUCUCUGGGCAGUAACUGACGCUGAGGAGCGAAAGCGUGGGGAGCGAACAGG
rnacentral:rRNA from 1 species